CUUUAAGCCAGCAGGCCAGAUCGGGUGCUGGCCAGGCCAGAGGGCGGAAAGGCCCUUCUCCACUUUAGCUGGCAUAACAUGUAUCGCCACCUCAUCUGGCAGAAAGUACCACAUUUUACUCGAAAGGCAUCUCCACUCAUGCUGCUCUAUCAGAUAGACCAAUUCCUCCUCUCAUGCUGCUCUGUAGAAGCGUGGCCCCUGGUCAACUCCUUUGCUUCUCCUGAUCAAUGUUUCUUCUCCAACAGCAAGUAUACCAAAAUAUCUACAUAUAUCCAGAUGGCUGAUCGACAUUGCUUGUCACAUCGGAGAUGCCAUUAUUUCUAAUCAAAGGGGCCAGCCAAUUGAUCUUGAAGCUGGAGAUGGGACUGCAGGGCUUCAUCAACAAACAGGUUUCUCUCACAAAUCAAUGUUGCUUAUUUUGGUGUCACACCUGCCUAAAUGAUGAGUACCAGAUCCUUAUUUUGCGGAUCUCACUGAUCAUGUGCGCCUGUGCAGGAUACGCCAGGUCGACGCCACGUGUCUUAUGGUUCUAGUUAACUACCAUGCCAGAUUCCCUUGAUUGCAAAAUCUGACCAUGUUGUAGCUUCUUUCCGUUUUUGUGGGAGACCAUGGCUUUACUUAGUUAGUUUCGGUAUACAUCAACAUUGUUAUUCAGGUGAUAAACCUUCCAUUGCUGCUAAAAUCAUAUAGCUAACUAUGAUGAAUAAAUUCAAAGCACAAAAAUUAAUAAGAAUACUGAUAAUCCAAAUUUGCAAA